rnacentral:rRNA from 1 species
UGGGGAAUUUUGGACAAUGGGCGAAAGCCUGAUCCAGCAAUGCCGCGUGUGUGAAGAAGGCCUUCGGGUUGUAAAGCACUUUUGUCCGGAAAGAAAUCCUUGGCUCUAAUACAGUCGGGGGAUGACGGUACCGGAAGAAUAAGCACCGGCUAACUACGUGCCAGCAGCCGCGGUAAUACGUAGGGUGCAAGCGUUAAUCGGAAUUACUGGGCGUAAAGCGUGCGCAGGCGGUUUGCUAAGACCGAUGUGAAAUCCCCGGGCUCAACCUGGGAACUGCAUUGGUGACUGGCAGGCUAGAGUAUGGCAGAGGGGGGUAGAAUUCCACGUGUAGCAGUGAAAUGCGUAGAGAUGUGGAGGAAUACCGAUGGCGAAGGCAGCCCCCUGGGCCAAUACUGACGCUCAUGCACGAAAGCGUGGGGAGCAAACAGGAUUAGUACCCUGGUAGUCCACGCCCUAAACGAUGUCAACUAGUUGUUGGGGAUUCAUUUCCUUAGUAACGUAGCUAACGCGUGAAGUUGACCGCCUGGGGAGUACGGUCGCAAGAUUAAAACUCAAAGGAAUUGAC